CGUGAAUGCCAGCAGAAAUACCCCUUCUAAAAUUAUAAAACCAGCAAAAAUAACACUUCUAGAAUUAUAAAACCAGCAGGAAGCAGAGGAAAUAAUUCCAAGUAAAAACAAUUGAAACUCCGAUUGUUUUUUUUUUGAGUACUAGAAAGUCUGGAUGAACCGAGAUGGCGAGCCUAGCCCAGCGAGACUGGUAGAUGAUCUUAAACAGGGUGGCCAGCCGUUGAUUUGUCACCAGAGGAAUCCUGAUUUACGUCGAGCGUGCCAGUUAAGGCAUUAUUCACACACAGUAGUGUUACACCAAGUGCACUUGAGGACAAGGACAUUUAUGCUUACUGAAAUACACAUUCACAGGUCUUUGGAUCCACAUUCCACAUUCACUUACGGAACCAAUUGAACAUUUAAGGGGAAUUUACUUUAUUAUUUUAUUAUUUUAAAGAGCUCUUCCUUUUUUGUUUUAACAUUAUUGUGCCAUUUAUUUUGCACUGUUGUAAGAAGGCAAUAAAAUUGUCAGCUGUUCAACUCAA